AAGAGCUGGAGUGCAUGGCAUAAGCAGGGCAAGCCUGGGGCAUUGUUCAGGCAAACAGGGCACUAGGAAAGAAUUUUCUGUCCCAGAACACUUUAUCUCAUGCCUUUAUCCAGACAAGAUUGCCGGCUAUUCGUUCUUGCCUCAAAACCUAGAAGAGAGAGAGAAACUUCACAAACUGCUCAACACGACGAUGGCUUAAAAAGCAAGUGUCUAAAGAGACUCCCAAGAUCUCUUUUCAAGCUAGUUACUGCAACUUCAUAUUCCAUCAUCAUGUAAUUAGGACUUUCUACUCCAAAAUAUAAACUUCCUGCUUUGAACUACAUUUUCCAUGUUGGUGAUCAUUUACCUAGUUUGGAGAGAGCCUCUGGAAGCUCGUGACAGUCAUGAACAAUCCUGAAAUCAGAGAACUGGGGGAAUGUAAAGUGCACGAAUGUGGAUAAUUUUGUGAUGUUAUGUGAUGUUUGGUAAAUGUUGAAAAUGCAACAAAAAUUACUUUUUUAAAAAAAUCAGUAACUUGGCCAUCCCACUGCUGUAACACAUGAUGUCCAAGUCCCAGUGAUGGAAGGGCAGCUAGCAGAUAAGGACAANAUGAGUGGCACCUACCCACACAUNCAGUAGGUCAGAGCUUGAGUCCAUUUUAGUUUCUCUUUCAGCAUAUUUUAAUUCCAUUGCCCAUUAGGUGAUAGUCAUUUCAUGCAAACUACUUACAUCUCCUGUGAGUCUGUGGGUCCCAAACAUCUAAGGAUUCCUUGGUCAAAUCACCUAAAUAGCACCCUUGCAGAGUUCCCAUAUUAAGACUCAGUGGAUAUGAAUAGGCAAAUCAUUUCAGAAGCUUCCUCUCCAGCUGAUACAAUCAAUGCCUUCAACAAUAUUUCUAAAUCUUUGAAAUGCCAAAUAGCAGAAAUUCAUCAAUUUAUAUGAUCAAACAGCCCCCCAGAAAGCAUAAGAAGAACAUAUGGUUUGACUCUUAAGUGUCAAUUAGCUAAAACUAAUCUAAGAAAUGUAUACUUAUGGGCAAAAUUCUAAUCAUCCCUCUGUAUGUUAUCAAAGAG
rnacentral:lncRNA from 1 species